UAAGGGAUAUUGGUCAAUGGGGGGAAACCCUGAACCAGCAACGCCGCGUGAGGGAAGACGGUUUUCGGAUUGUAAACCUCUGUCCUCUGUGAAGAUGAUGACGGUAGCAGAGGAGGAAGCUCCGGCUAACUACGUGCC
rnacentral:rRNA from 1 species